rnacentral:rRNA from 1 species
GAUGAACGCUGGCGGCGUGCCUAAUACAUGCAAGUCGAGCGAACGGACGAGAAGCUUGCUUCUCUGAUGUUAGCGGCGGACGGGUGAGUAACACGUGGAUAACCUACCUAUAAGACUGGGAUAACUUCGGGAAACCGGAGCUACUACCGGAUAAUAUUUUGAACCGCAUGGUUCAAAAGUGAAAGACGGUCUUGCUGUCACUUAUAGAUGGAUACGCGCUGCAUUAGCUAGUUGGUAAGGUAACGGCUUACCAAGGCAACGAUGCAUAGCCGACCUGAGAGGGUGAUCGGCCACACUGGAACUGAGACACGGUCCAGACUCCUACGGGAGGCAGCAGUAGGGAAUCUUCCGCAAUGGGCGAAAGCCUGACGGAGCAACGCCGCGUGAGUGAUGAAGGUCUUCGGAUCGUAAAACUCUGUUAUUAGGGAAGAACAUAUGUGUAAGUAACUGUGCACAUCUUGACGGUACCUAAUCAGAAAGCCACGGCUAACUACGUG